GGGUGCGGUCAUACCAGCACGAAUGCACCGGAAUCCCAUCAGAACUCCGAAGUUAAGCGUGCUUGGGCAAGAGUAGUACUAGGAUGGGUGACCUCUUGGGAAGUCUUUGUGUCGCACCCC
rnacentral:rRNA from 1 species